CACGGACGCACGGACGCGCGGACGCCGGAGCCCGCCCCGAGCAUGUGGAAGCUGGGCCGGAGCCGGGUGCUCCUGGACGAGCCCCCCGAAGAGGAGGACGGCCUGCGGGGGGGGCCGCCGCCUGCCGCCGCCUCCGCUGCCGCCGCGGUGCAGAUUCAGGGAGCAAGUUUCCGAGGCUGGAAAGAUGUGACUUCUCUGUCUUACAAGGAUGAUGAACAGCACCUGCUGGAAAGGCGCAGACCCCCCAAAUCCAGAGGAACAAAUUUACGAUUAAAAGAAGAGUUGAAGACUGAGAAGAAAUCUGGAUUUUGGGACAAUUUGGUUUUAAAACAGAAUACACAGACCAAGAAACCAGAUGAGAUUGAAGGUUGGGAGCCUCCAACACUUGCCCUUGAGGAUGUGGCAGCUGACUCAGGGGACACAGAGAGUGACCGUCUGUCCCGGCCAGGUUGGGAGGAGGGCGCCAAGGGCUCCAAGUACACCAGCCUGGCAGGUGCCGGGAACAGCUCCCGCUGGAGCCUCAGGUCGGCCGGGAAGCUAGUCAGCAUCCGCCGGCAGAGCAGAGGCCACCUGACGGACAACUGGGAGGAGCUGGAGUGACGGUGUUCGUGGACGGCGCAGCUUCCAAGUAUCAAACCAAAAUCUGCCUAGUUUUGCACUUUUGUAUCUCAUUUCACUCAGAUUCUUAGAGUUUGCCGUAUCAUGGUGAUUUUUUAGUAGUGCAUCCAGUUGUUUGGUCUUUCCCCUGUGAAGAGAGCAGGGAAUCUGCUCUGAGCUGUUUCAUUUUUUGACUGUCCUUUUCAUAUGCUGAUUUAGGGAAUUCCCAGCAUCCUGUGAUUCCGCGGACCGCACAGCGACUGCCUUACCGCGGAAACACCCACUCCCUGUCGUUCUCGCUGCUGAAAAUGGAGACAUGAGGCGUUGACGCUGUCCUGGGAUGACUGCAGUUCUCCACAAAACCGUCUUCCCGCGUCCUCGGUCGUGCUUCUCUGCUCCUGACUUGACACCUUCUCUGCAUGUAGCACCUGUGUAGAGUCUACGACACAAGAAUGUAGCGGUUGUGCAAUUCCCUUCUGUUGCCAGAAAUCAGCAGUCCAGGUGUAGAAUCAAUCUUCCAGAGUUAUGUUACACUGUGUUUAACCUGGCAGACUAAACUCUUCUUUUGUAUUAAAUUUAAAAAUAUGUAAGUCAUUUGAAAACUGCAGAAGCCAAGGCUGUGCUGGACCCAGCACGAAAUGCCACCACUACCUGCAGACGCAGCUUCGUCUCCUGCCUCCAGUGUGUGUGUCAGGUGGUGACGGUGGUUCAUUCUUAUUUACUUCUCCUGAACUUUUGAAUAUUGAUCUUUAUUUUCUUCUAAAAACUUGUUCUCCAUUUUUGAUCGCAGAUUAAAGAAUGCUAUAAAGCACGGAUCAGUUUUAGUAACUGGACACAAUUUUGUUUGGGAAAUACGGACUUGCUCGUCAUGGAGUUAUGACUGUAUAAAAUGCUGGAAGUGCCUCUCUCCUGCACACCCAGGGUUUUGUUUCCCUUUGAUGAGAGACUGAGGUUGCUGCUGGAGCCCUGGGCUGCCACACGGUAGCACCACCCCCUCCUGUGUCUCUAGACUUGAACUGUGUCCUUGACCGAGUGACCUCAUGUCAGGUACCCAGGCAUGUGUCUCCGCGGCGGGACAGCUCAGAGCCACAGGAGCACGGGUCUGUCUUAGGUAACGGAGGUUCUGCGAGAAGUUACAGGUUUCUUUGGUUAAAGCCUCCAGUUACACUGUGCGCUCUUCUCAUAAAAAAGGCUGCCCUCCGGUUGUUCCCCGAGAGUGUCUAUGCUGUUCCGUUUAAGGGGCGUCGUGGGCUUUCCCACGGGCUCCGGAGGGGGACAGAGUCAUUACCAUCUGUCAGUCCAUCUGCCUGUGUCUCCGUAUCAUCUCUUGUUUUAACAGAACAAGAAGUUUACUUCACCGAGCCCUGGACGGGGAACAUGUUUUUGCGUGAUUUCCGGCGUCUGCACCUGAUGACUUGGGGACCAGUGCUGCGGCCCCGUCUCCGCACUCCCAGCCUCACUUCUGGUGAUGACACGCAGAGGAGCCCGCAGACCACCCUCAUGGCAAACAGCGCGAGUCCUUGUCCAGCAGCUCCGUCGUGUUCGCACGAGGAUGGGCCACACAGGAAGGUGGGUGCUGGCCCCAUGUCUGUGCCCUGGGCUGGCGGUGCGGCCCCGGCCAGUGCUGCAGGAAGUGGGCCACCACCAUCCGAGGUGAGAGUGGCCCGGGGCACGUCUCACCCGGCACAGACGAGACCAGCCCGAGUCUGCCCGAGACUGGACAUGGCCUAGAGGGACAGCCACUGCAGCUCGUCCAGCUGCCCAGGUCCAACGGGACUUGGCAGUGAGACUACGUGCAGAUGAAGGAAGGACGCCAUCAUCUGAGUUCCUGCAUUUUGGUUCCCAAAGUGGAAACUCCAGUGGGAAAAACAUCCCAGGUGAGGAGCCAAUCUGACUUCCUGAGAAAACCCCGAGUUUAGAACGGGAAGUGCUUCAACAGAGGACAGGCGAGUGGCUGGCGUGCGGCGAGGGCACCCGCGCACCACGAGGGACCCAGGGAGCCUGCUGGCUCGUGCUCAGCGAGGGUGGGUGGUGGGGCCACCGCUGCCCCUGUUCACGGGUGUCCAAGUGAGCUGAAACCAGGCCACACCAGGAUCUGACAUUGGUGGUUAGGCCGGACAGAUAGGCUCUCUGGUGACCUGCCUCCUCUAACCUCCCCGUGGGUGGGGGAGAGGGGCAGGGUCACUUUAAUUACAGCGAAGCUUCAGGGAGGCCCAGGCCGGCGAGCAACCAGAUCCAGCAGGAGCGCACAGCUCCAAUUUAACCAGUGUGCAGAACCCAUGUGGGCCGGCAAAAGCCAGGCUGGUGCCCCUGGCCCCGGGGGUCACAGGUGCAGCAUGGACAGCAACCGUGGGAUGGGCAGGCGACCCCUUCCACGGCCUGGGGAGCUGUUUGUCCGGGCCAAGCACAUGGCACAGUGACCCCAAACCCACACUUGGUUGGGGCCCAUAGGGAAGUCACUGGGCAGCUACCCAGAGCUGGACCCCUCCCUGACUGCAGCCCCGAGGGUGCAUCAAAUCACCAGAAAUAGAAGGUGCCUCAUCUGCUUCCCCAUCUGAGCCCACCUGGAACAUCAGCUACUGGUCCGAUGCAUGGUCUGGUGUCAGCUCACCUGCACACCUGUGAACCAGGGGAAAACCAGACAUCCUCACGCAAGAGAAUGAGGUUGGGCCCUUCCUUACCCCAGAUGCAAAAACUAACUCAAAACAGAUCAAAGACCUAACAGCUACGAUUAUAAAAGGCUUAGAGGAAGCAGGGUGGAAGCUCAAGGCACUGGACUUGCCCGUGAGUGCCUGGGUGUGACCAGGAGGCACAGGCCUCGGCCCACAUCCAGGUGCGAGCCCUGUGCGUAAGAGGGCACUGCCAGCAGAGCGGAACGCAGCCUCGGGAAGGCGAGGAGUCGUUUUCAAAUCGUGUCUGAUGAGGUAACACACACCCAGAGCUGUAGCGGUUCCUUCUAUAUUUAACAGAAACACAUAAAACGCGACUUAAAUUGGACUUGAAUAGACAUUUCCCCCAAGUGAGACCCACAAAUGGCCAACAGGCACAGGAAGCUGCUUAAACCUCACUCUUCCCCAGGGAGACACAGCUCACAGCCACAGUGAGAUGUCACAUCACCAUCCGGAUGACCACCAAACCAAAAACCUCCACAAAGUCCGUGCUCGUGAGGAUGCAGAGAAAUUGAACCCUUGCACACUGCUGGCAGGAAUGUAAAAUGGUGCCGCCACUGUGAAAAAGUGGCAGUUCCUGAAAAUAUUAAACAUACAAUUACCACGCGAUCCAGCAAGUCCACUUCCAGGUAUGAACCCAAAGGAAAGAAAAUCAUUUUGUAGAAGAGAGAUUUGUAGACCACGUUCACAGCAGCCAAAAGGUGAAAGCAACUCAAGUGCAUCCACAGAUGAGGGAUGAGCUUAGCCUGGUCCACGGCGGAGCACCUCGCAGCUUGUGAGGGAAGGCGGUCCUGACCCACGCUACCACGGGCGGGAAGGAGAUGCCGUAUGGUUCCAGGUACACAUGCGUCUACAGGAGUCAGAUCCACCGAGACAGAGAAGACGGGGGCCUAGGGAUGCAGGAGGAGGGCAGGGAGUGAGUGUGUAACAUGCUGAUCGCCCACUGUGGAUCAGGUGCCCCUGAGGAAACACAGGUGUCGCCUAGAUUUGGGGGACGUGGCGAUCAAGGUGUUCAUGGGGGACAAGUUCAGUCUGCAAAGAUGAGAAGUAUUCUGGAGAUGAUGGUGGUGAUCUUUGCACAGCAAUACAAAUGAGCUUAACACUACUGAAGAAUUCACUGAAACAUGGUUAGGAUGGUAAAUUUUAUGUGUAUUUUACCAUAAUUAAAAUUAAGUGACAUCUGAAUUUUCUAUGUAGAUUAAACAGUAAAAAGCUACUUGCAUUCAUCUGUGCAAAUUUCAUCCAAACAGCACAGUCGGGGUGUCUCUCUCGUAUGGCUCGGAAGGUCUUGAGCAGGAGGAACGACGGUGUGUGCUGAGGAGCUCACCGCCCUGAGCGCGAGGCAGAGAAGCCAGGCGGCGGGUGAAAGCCGCGGCCCGUCCUGGGCUGGCUGUGCUCUGAGCACUGCGUUCUCGCUGGGGGACUGAGUCAGUGGGAAGUGAGGGGGUGAGGGAGGGGCAACAGCCCUCCGAAAGGUCACGCCUGAGACACGCAUGAGCCCACGGAGUAGCCGGACAGCAAGGACCCCGCCCACACACGGGGGUGAGCCGCAGGUGCCCCUGCUGGAGGGGAGGGCCCACUGCACUGGCCACAGCUCCGGUCAGGACGGGCUGGCGCAGCCUCUCUUCAGGUGCACACGGCACCGUCCCAGCCAGGAUUCUGGGAGACACUGAGCUCAGUCACAGGGACCCCACUGCUUCCUGAAAGUGAGGGCCUGCUCCCUCUGUAGGAACGACAGAGGACGGAGCAGGGAGGCAGGCUGAGAAAGAGUGUGACGCUGGGUGUUGGCAGGUCCCAGGGCCCCUCCCAGGUCUGCAGACCCUGGGCAUCUCACAGUGGGGUGGGGGUGGGGCGUGCUGAUGCUGCGCUCGCUUGGGAUACAGGUGGGAGUGAGGGAGUAGGGCUGUGCGUCUCCUCACAUGGUUAGUGAAGGAAAUAAUGUCAUGAGCCAAGAUAUCAUCUGCCUUGAGAACUGCAGUUCCAGAGGACAGCAUGUCCUUCUGUAACUCUGGGCACAGCAGCACAGGUUAAGCUUACAGCCAUUAACCACCAGGUCAGGCCCCAUAAUGAAGCAAAAGAGCUUUAACCAGGGCCCAUGUUCACUCGGACAGAAGUGCUUAUCCUGUUAAAGGCAAAGGACUUUCCAAAAGGGGGACACGACUACAAUGAAAACGAAAGUUUCACUCAGGAAGUUCAGUCUCCCGUGUAUUACCCUAAUGUUUAAAGGAGGGCCUGCACCAAUCGUCCACAAACUUCCUAAAGACAGCAGGGGUGGGGACCCUCCCAAGGCGAGCCCGUCCUAUGAGACUGUUCACCCUGAUGCCAAAACCAAAGACGUCACCAGAAAAGCACAGAUUCAUCUCUCUGGUGAAAACUCAGUAAAACCCAGUAAACUAAACCCACCAACGGUGUGCAGAAGCCACAUGGGACAUGGGUCUGGGCAGGCAGGGUUGGUUUGACAUACAAAAGUCAAUCACAAGACCAACUCAGUAGCUGCAGAAAAAGCACAUCUCAAAAUCCAACACUUUCAUGAUAAAAGAGAAAAACCUCAACAAGGCAGGACUGGAAGGGAACACCUCACCCUGAUGAGGGCAUCCAUGGAAAUGCCCAGUUAGCACCACCCUCAUGGGUGAAGGCCGAGAGCGUCCUAGGAUCACGAACAUACAGGACACAUGUGCACUGCCUCACCGUGCACAGGAGGGCCUGGCAGGAAAGCUGGCAAGGAACAGAAACAGCAACCACCUUUGUGUGCAGACGACAUGAUGUGUGUGUCUCCUCCUAAGGAACCUACAGAAAUACCACUAGAUUUAGUGACUUCAGCACAGCUGUGGGAUAUAAAGUCAGUGUACAAACAUCUCACGUCAGCAUUUUGUUUGUAUAUGAUUCUAAAAGCUUUUACAAGCAAGUUACACAGAUCCUUCCACACUGUCCCUCGAGAAGAGACGGUUCUCCACGGAUGGCCCUGGGCAGCAAACACACACAACACAGAUGCUGUAAGAGUCCAGAGCAGCCCCUGAACCUGCAGAACCCACUGUGGCUCCCGACGCACACCCAGCUGAGACGAGGGCCUUUUUCUACCUCGAAAGGCGGAAGGAGAUGUGGCGGUGCCUUCGGGGUGGCUCUGGGCAGAGCCUGAGGCCCGCUCCCUGUUGUCCUGAGAGCCGGCCCUGCCCUGGUCCGCACACAUCAAGGUGGCAACGCCUGUGCAGCCCUUGUCAGGCAGGCCCCCUGACCGCCCCGCCCUCAUAAGCCCCAUGUGAACGCACAGCUCAGGACCGUUCGUUCCUCUUGUUUCUCUUCCUGCUUGGUGCUGCUGUCGGAGCUCCUGUGAAUGGCUGGUCCGGGCUCGGGCGCUGUCCCUCCCUCAUUCUAUCAGCACCCACACCAGCUACCAGCGCCACCCGGCCUCACUCACCUGCCCGUGUGCAGCGCUGGCUCCCAGCGCAUCUGUUGCCCGUGGGACAGCUGGACUCCUCUCCCAAGACUGUGAACAUUAUUUGGAGAAAAGAAGUCAACUUCAGUAGGUUAAUGCCUGUUAAGGAGAAAUUAAUACCAAAAAACCAACACCCCAAAAGUAAAACAGGCAGAGAACACACAUUAGGUCCAACCUCACAGCCAUCUUCUUGUGCCCACCUUCAGGGAAGAAAGGUGACAGUGUCCAUCCUGCCAGUGGUCUGGAAAUACCCUUAACAAAUACUGGAUGCUUCUCCUGCAUUCUGCUUCUCGCUUAUCUUACGGAGACAAUCAGAUGCACAAAAGCACAUGUACCGUGGUACUUAUCACAAAAUGACAGGCACUGUUCCAUCUGUGUGAUACCAUCUAUCUAAUAAAAACCAUAUUUUCAUGCUUUUGAAAAAAGGGUAGUUAUUAAAUGAAAACAGUAUAUUCAGUGCUUAUGGUUCAAGCCUUCACUCAGACACACACACACACACACACACACACACAGAACCUAUUGUUUGACAAUGAAGCAUAUUCUUGGCUGUUAGUGUCAGUUCAGCAUAGAACGUGGUGCUGAAAAUACAGAACCUUUAUGUAAAUUUGUAAAACUGCACAUUUGCACGUGCUCUGAAGGAGGCAGAAAUGAUCUUGCUCGGGUCCUGACCCUAUUCAGUCUCCCCUGCAGCUGCCAGGGCCACUGCUCCAUUUCUGGGUGGCAGGGUUAUGCAUGAGUUUUGUUUUCUUUUAUAUGCUUAUAUAAAAAAAUCAAAAAUAAAAUCAUUAAUGCUACUUUUUUCAGUUAAGAUGCAAAAUGACAAAGUUAAAAUCAGUAAACAUGAUUUAUUACUUUGCCUAUAAAAGUGGUUUUAGAGCAGUGAAGUGAGGCUGCACUGGGCUGUUCUGACUGGGUUGAGACCCCAGGGUCAGCAGAGAGCAGGGCCAUCCCUGCAGUGUCUGCUGUGAGCCCAGGACCACAGCCCACCACCAAACACAUCUCCCCAGGUUCCUUCUGCAUCAGGGAGGGUUCAUCUGGAUACAAUCAAUACAGUUAAAAUACAUCUUAGGAAAAAUAAAUAUUCUGUGCAGUGUCCUUACAAGAAUCAAUGCUCUGUAUCUACCCCCAAUUACUACAAAAUCGAGAAACUAUCAUUUAACAGUUUAGAAGCAUAUUAUGGGCUGUUAGUGUUAAUUCAGCACAGAAAUGUGCUGAAAGUAUAGAAUCUUUUUUGAACCACAUUCACAAAUAUGCAAAGUUGCAAAUUUUAAUGUG